rnacentral:rRNA from 1 species
UAGCUAGUUGGUAGGGUAAGAGCCUACCAAGGCGACGAUCGGUAGCUGGUCUGAGAGGAUGGCCAGCCACACUGGAACUGAGACACGGUCCAGACUCCUACGGGAGGCAGCAGUGGGGAAUAUUGGACAAUGGGGGCAACCCUGAUCCAGCAAUGCCGCGUGUGUGAAGAAGGCCUGAGGGUUGUAAAGCACUUUCAGUGGGGAGGAGAGUUGAUGGGUUAAGAGCUAAUUAACUGGACGUUACCCACAGAAGAAGCACCGGCUAACUCCGUGCCAGCAGCCGCGGUAAUACGGAGGGUGCGAGCGUUAAUCGGAAUUACUGGGCGUAAAGGGUGCGUAGGUGGUUGUAUAAGUUAUCUGAGAAAUCCCUGGGCUUAACCUGGGCAGGUCAGAUAAUACUGUAUGACUCGAGUAUGGGAGAGGGUAGUGGAAUUUCCGGUGUAGCGGUGAAAUGCGUAGAGAUCGGAAGGAACACCAGUGGCGAAGGCGGCUACCUGGCCUAAUACUGACACUGAGGCACGAAAGCGUGGGGAGCAAACAGGAUUAGAUACCCUGGUAGUCCACGCUGUAAACGAUGUCAACUAGCUGUUGGUUAUAUGAAUAUAAUUAGUGGCGC